UACGUAGGGGGCUAGCGUUGUCCGGAAUCAUUGGGCGUAAAGAGCGUGUAGGCGGUCCGGUAAGUCCGUUGUGAAAGUCAGGGGCUCAACCCUUGAAUGCCGGCGGAUACUGUCGGGCUAGAGUCCGGAAGAGGCGAGUGGAAUUCCCGGUGUAGCGGUGAAAUGCGCAGAUAUCGGGAGGAACACCUAUGGCGAAGGCAGCUCGCUGGGACGGCACUGACGCUGAGACGCGAAAGCGUGGGGAGCAAACAGG
rnacentral:rRNA from 1 species